rnacentral:rRNA from 1 species
GAUGAACGCUGGCGGCGUGCCUAAUACAUGCAAGUCGAGCGAACAGACGAGGCGCUUGCUCCUCUGACGUUAGCGGCGGACGGGUGAGUAACACGUGUAUAACCUACCUAUAAGACUGGGAUAACUUCGGGAAACCGGCGCUAAUACCGGAUAAUAUAUUGAACCGCAUGGUUCAAUAGUGAAAGACGGUUUUGCUGUCACUUAUAGCUGGAUCCGCGCCGCAUUAGCUAGUUGGUAAGGUAACGGCUUACCAAGGCAACGAUGCGUAGCCGACCUGAGAGGGUGAUAGGCGACACUGGAGCUGGGACAGGGUCCAGACGCCUACGGGAGGCAGCAGUAGGGAAUCUUCCGCAGUAGGCGAAAGCAUGACGGAGCAGCGCCGCGUGUGUGAUGAAGGUCUUCGGAGCGUAAAAAUCUGUUAUGAGGGAAGAACAAAUGUGUAAGUAGCUAUGCACGUAUUGACGGUAACUAAUCAAAAAGCAACGGCUAACUACGUG